rnacentral:rRNA from 1 species
GACGAACGCUGGCGGCGUGCCUAAUACAUGCAAGUAGAACGCAGUUGCGGACGGGUGAGUAACGCGUAGGUAACUGCCUCAUAGCGGGGGAUAACUAUUGGAAACGAUAGCUAAUACCACAUACUGUGAGAUGGACCUGCGUUGGAUUAGCUAGUUGGUGAGGUAAAGGCUCACCAAGGCGACGAUACAUAGCCGACCUGAGAGGGUGAUCGGCCCAACCGGGACGGGGAAACGGCCCAGACUCCUUCGGGAGGGAGGCGUAGGGAAUCUUUGGCAAUGGACGGAAGGCUGACCGAGCAACGCCGCGUGAGUGAAGAAGGUUUUCGGAUCGUAAAGCUCUGUUGUUAGAGAAGCGGUAACUAAACAGAAAGGGACGGCUAACUACGUGCCAGCAGCCGCGGUAAUUC